GAUGAACGCUGGCGGCGUGCCUAACACAUGCAAGUCGAACGUGAGGGGCGUUUUCGGAUGCCCUGAAAGUGGCGAACGGGUGAGUAACACGUAGAUAACCUGCCCUGGAGUGGGGGAUAACCACUGGAAACGGUGGCUAAUACCGCAUAGGCCCUUGAAGUCGGGAGGCUUCGAGGGGAAAGCUCCGGCGCUUCAGGAGGGGUCUGCGUCCGAUUAGCUAGUUGGCGGGGUAACGGCCCACCAAGGCGACGAUCGGUAGCUGGUCUGAGAGGACGAUCAGCCACACGGGAACUGAGACACGGUCCCGACUCCUACGGGGGGCAGCAGUGAGGAAUAUUGGGCAAUGGGCGCAAGCCUGACCCAGCAACGCCGCGUGGAGGAAGAAGGGCCUUCGGGGUUGUAAACUCCUUUUGCNGGGGGAAGAGAGAGGGACGGGUACCUGGCGAAUCAGUCACGGGCUAACUACGUGCCAGCA
rnacentral:rRNA from 1 species